UGCGGGUUUUAGAGCAUUACCGUCAGGCUCUUAACCUGAAGGUCGAAGGUUCAAAUCCUGCCCCUGCAACCA
rnacentral:tRNA from 1 species